rnacentral:lncRNA from 1 species
CGCCGCGCUGCUCUGGCUGGCUUCGCUGGCGCUGCCGCUCUGGUGUCCUCGAGCCCCGCCAACGCUGCCUACGGUGACUCUGCCAACGUGUUCGGCAAGGUGACCAACAAGUCCGGCUUCGUGCCCUACGCCGGCGAUGGCUUCGCUCUGCUGCUGCCCGCCAAGUGGAACCCCAGCAAGGAGAACGACUUCCCCGGCGUGAUCCUGCGGUAAGACCGCUGAGCUUCGCUGGGGGGUCGACAUGCGUUUGGGACCCAGCAGGUUCCUGCUUGCAUGCCGUCGAGACGGAGCUUGGGAGUAUGUAAUAGGAUGCAAAGGAAAGAGAGCGCAAGAGAUCUUGCGAUCCUGCAGUCGUUGGUCUUGCCAGCUUGCACGCGCAGCGGCAAUCGAUCUCUGUCGCUUGCGGGUUGGUCGCUCUUCCUCGCGCGCCUCAGCCGACAAUUGUUAUCUGCCUUUUUUGCUGACCUGGUUUCCUGGUUUGAUCGCGCUGUGUUUCUCCUGCGCCCCACAGCUACGAGGACAACUUCGACGCCGUGAACAACCUGGUCGUCAUUGCCCAGGACACCGACAAGAAGGCGAUCGCCGACUUCGGCAGCCAGGACAAGUUCCUGGAGUCCGUCUCCUACCUGCUGGGCAAGCAGGCCUACUCCGGCGAGACCCAGUCGGAGGGUGGCUUCGCCCCCAACCGUGUGUCGGCUGCCUCCCUGCUGGACGUGUCGACCACGACCGACAAGAAGGGCAAGACUUACUACAAGUACGAGCUGCUGGUCCGCUCCGGUGAGUUUGGUUUUCAGAAGGACUGAAGCUGACAUUUGCGGGGCACGGGGCUUCGUGGGGUAGGGUGAGUCGGCUGGCACACGCCACACAUGCAUGCGCCUCUCAUACCUCCCCCUCAUCCCACAGUCCUCCCUUUCUAACCCUUCCCUACCAUCUCCAUCCCUCUCCUCAGCCGAUGGCGAUGAGGGCGGCCGCCACCAGCUGAUCGGCGCCACCGUUGGCUCCGACAACAAGCUGUACAUCAUCAAGAUCCAGAUUGGCGACAAGCGCUGGUUCAAGGGUGCCAAGAAGGAGGCCAUGGGCGCCUUCGACUCCUUCACCGUUGUGUAAGCGGCCAACCUGGCUCGCGUAAGGAACGGGUGGAAGGAAGAGAGCUCGGAAAGCCGCAUCCUGGUGCGUCGGGCGUCUGCAGGCGCCCUCGCUCGGAGCUCGGAGCCCGGCGCAAGCUGCUGCUGCGGACUUGAGUGCGAGAACUCUGGGCUGCUGAAUGGAGAGCAGCGAGGAGUUGCGCGUGAGGGAAAGCAUGGAGCAGGGAUCGGCAUGAAUGGCGAUUUUCGGAUUCGCAGCGGUGUCAUUUUGUGUUAGCCCGGGCAUGCGCCUUGCGUGGAGCUGUGCCUAUUCGUGGGAGUGUGACCGGGUGCGUGGCAGUCGGCGGCAUAGCCCCAGCGCCUUGUGGUGAGCCAGUGCGGUUGGCCUGAGGGUGGGGCAAUCUGAUGCCCCGACCUGCUGUGCGUGUUUUGCGUGUCAUUUUGGAACUUGUUCUUACCGGUUCCGACGGUGCCUACCAUAGCGGUGGAGGUGGGUGCUGCAAUAUGGCGGAGUGUGUGUGGGCGGUGUCAAAGCGCCGCCACACAGCUAGCAGAGGACGACUGCGGCCAUUUUGCAAAUCACAGGCAAAAUGCCAACGAAGUUUGGCACCCAGUACAGCGUGUUUCGUUCAUAGUCCC